rnacentral:rRNA from 1 species
CCUACGGGAGGCUGCAGUGAGGAAUAUUGGUCAAUGGGAGAGAUCCUGAACCAGCCAAGCCGCGUGAGGGAAGACGGCCCUAUGGGUUGUAAACCUCUUUUGCCGGGGAGCAGAGGUCCGGACGUGUCCGGGCCGGGAGAGUACCCGGAGAAAAAGCAUCGGCUAACUCCGUGCCAGCAGCCGCGGUAAUACGGAGGAUGCGAGCGUUAUCCGGAUUUAUUGGGUUUAAAGGGAGCGUAGGUGGAUUGUUAAGUCAGUUGUGAAAGUUUGCGGCUCAACCGUAAAAUUGCAGUUGAAACUGGCAGUCUUGAGUACAGUAGAGGUGGGCGGAAUGCGUGGUGUAGCGGUGAAAUGCUUAGAUAUCACGAAGAACUCCGAUUGCGAAGGCAGUUCACUGGACUGCAACUGACACUGAGGCUCGAAAGUGUGGGUAUCAAACAGGAUUAGAUACCCCUGUAGUC